rnacentral:sRNA from 1 species
GCUGGGCGUGGUGGCGCAGGCCUGUAAUCCCAGCAGCUCAGGAGGCUGAGGCAGGAGGAUUGGGUGUUCAAAUCCAGCCUCAGAAAAAGCCGGGCGCUAAGCAACUCAGCGAGAUCCUGUCUCUA